rnacentral:tRNA from 1 species
AGGGGGUAUGGCGGAAUCGGUAGACGCUACGGACUU